GGGCGAUUAACUCAGCUGGUAGAGUGCCACCUCGACAAGGUGGAAGUCGUUGGUUCGAGUCCAGUAUCGCCCACCA
rnacentral:tRNA from 1 species